UACGAACUGCGCAAACGUUAUUCGGAAUCACUGGGCUUACAGGGUGCGUAGGCGGCCUACCAGGUCAGAUGUGAAAUCCCACAGCUCAACUGUGGAACUGCAUUUGAAACCGGCAGGCUUGAGUGAGCUAGAGGCAUACGGAACUUCCGGUGGAGCGGUGAAAUGUGUUGAGAUCGGAAGGAACACCAGAGGCGAAAGCGGUAUGCUGGGGCUUGUCUGACGCUGAGGCACGAAAGCCAGGGGAGCGAACGGG
rnacentral:misc_RNA from 1 species